rnacentral:lncRNA from 1 species
AUGGCAUAGAUUAGACACAUGACUAACGUAAACAAAUGAAUUGGACCAUCUGCAUUUUUGCGUGUUUGUCUGUCCAGCUGGGAAAAGUAGGGAGACAAUAAUUAAGUUCACGUUUGAGACCAAUGCUGACAUGACAAUGGCGGACCACAAGGCCCAAAUCUUAGAUCAGUUACAUGAGGUUCUGCUGUCCCAGGGAUUGACCGACAUCAACCUGAGCUGGAUGCAGGAGCCACAGCCCAUCCCCGUCAGCAAUGACAGUAUGCCACUGGGGGAUCUCACCUGUGCUCAUAUCAACUAGUACUUAUCAUGCAAACCAUGAAUUACUAAAAAAAUAUUCGGUAUCACUUCAUAAUAAGCUGCCAUAAUAAAUAGAAAACUAGUCAUUACCUAACCCUUUGUUAAAGGUCGGGUAUGGAAUUCUCUUUUUUGGCCAUUUUUGCAAGAUUACUUGAAAUCCUUAUCAUAACCCACUUACAGCCACUGAGUUAGAAGUACUGACAUGAAAAUUAAACAAGUCAAUCAUCUGUGGAACGGGCAGGGCUCGAAAAACUCCAGCCAAUGAUUUCCAGAAACACCGAGUGGCAUUGGACAAUAAGUACGUCAAUCAAACGGUCGUACUGCACUCCCCCUCCCCCCACCCAGAGCAAGCUUCUGUUUGUUGUUAUCCUGCGGUAGCUACUGGAGCUAGCUAACUAGCUAAACCACCUUUGGACCUAGCACUAGAAGAAAACCCUAAACUCCAACCUAGCUAGCCUGGCUCGCUCUCGCGCAUGAUUGCAUGUCCAUGUACUUGGAAUGGGUGGAGUCAGAGUCAGCGUUGAAGGAGAGGGGGUAGGACCAUUCGAGUUGUGUGUUUUCAAAAUCUGCUGGCGUUUCGCAAAUCCCAUACCCAACCUUUAAUAUUUGUGAAUUGUUACUAAAAUACCUAUUUGGCACAAGUUAACAGUUUUUUCAUCAUUAAUUAAAUAUAAGUUGGUUGCAUAACCCUAACCGAACCCUAACACACGAUCCUAACCCUUACCCUAACCCUAACACACAGCCCAAACCCUAACACACAGCCCUUAACCCUAACCCUAGCAAUAACACACAGCCCUAACCCUAACACACGACCCUAACCCUAGCCCUAACGAGCGACACUCAAAUAUUAACAAAGGGUUACGUAAUGACUAGUUUGGUAUUUAUUAUGGCACCUUAUUAUAAAGUGUUACCAAAUAUUCUAAUCGAAAUAGAUGCAGUUAUAUGUUUAGUAAUCAGUUUUGUGAUGUUAUUGAGAGACUAAAAUAGGUUUGUUCAUCAGCGUUUAGUGGCUGAGCCGGGUAGGCAACGUUCCCCCCAAGUUGAAGUUACCCCAAAACUGAAAGGGACAUUUAAAGCAGCAUAGUGUUGGUGGAGUAUAAAAAAAAUGAAGUCUCAAUUGCAGCGUAUGCCGUUUGAGUCGAGAGAGUAGGAUAUUGGAUUUUAAACAGGUAUCCAGGCUCUAAUCACAAUGCAACAGAUGUGUUGCAACAAAUGUGUUGCUGGGACUGUGGUCAUUGUUACGAUAACCUUGUGUCUAGCAGUUCUACACAAUAGGGGAAUAACAAAGAGCCCUGAACAGAACAAAAGCCUAACUAAAACCCUUCACCUGGAUACGUCUCUAUUUUCAUAACUUCCUAACAUAUAACAAAAAUCACAGUUUAAAAGUGUAAGUAGUUGCUAACAAACGGCCAGUGUCAAUUUGUGGAAACUACCACUGACCACUGAGUACUAGCUGAGAUUUUGACCAUUUAUUUGAUUCAAAUAUAUUGGUAUUUCUUGCAUCCCUAGCUGCCACUCAUUAACGCAUGUUGCCUCAGUGCUUUAAAUACAUGAUUUUAAUACAUUUCAAAUCAACUUGUAUGACCAACCUCUUCCGAAAACAUCUCGCAAAAUGAUGAGUAAUAUUGUUGAAUUGUCCUUUUUAAGCUUGUGUUGAAUGUAGAACGCAUUUGGUGUUAUUAUUUCUGAUGUCUCUGUGAACUACCAUUUUUUGCACUAGCACUAAAAAUAAAAUGUUUACUAGCACUUGUGUUUUGAUUACCAUAUAUCCUUCUUUUUAGAAACUAGGUAAUGCAGCACAUUCUUUUGCAUUACUUUCAUGUGCUAUUUCAACAUGAUGUUUUGCUUUGAUGGUUCUGAUUGAUGGUGUGUUUAACAAACAUUGCAAAACUUGGUUUUCUGACUCAUUGUUCAACAGACCAUGUCCAGGGAACUCUGUUGUUAUGGACAAAACCUUUUGGUUAUCUUCUUCAUUCUCAAUCAGGGCUAGGUCAGUGUAAAUGCAAUCGCUAUCUAGUUUGAACUUUGCAUGUAACAGGUAAUCACUUUCUCAUAUCUUUGAAUG